rnacentral:rRNA from 1 species
AUACGUAGGGGGCGAGCGUUGUCCGGAAUGAUUGGGCGUAAAGGGCGCGUAGGCGGCCCGGUAAGUCUGGAGUGAAAGUCCUGUUUUUAAGAUGGGAAUUGCUUUGGAUACUGUCGGGCUUGAGUGCAGGGGAGGUAAGUGGAAUUCCCAGUGUAGCGGUGAAAUGCGUAGAGAUUGGGAGGAACACCAGUGGCGAAGGCGACUUACUGGACUGUAACUGACGCUGAGGCGCGAAAGUGUGGGGAGCAAACAGGAUUAGAUACCCUGGUAGUCCACACUGUAAACGAUGAAUGCUAGGUGUAGGGGGUAUCGACCCCUUCUGUGCCGCAGUCAGCACAAUAAGCAUUCCGCCUGGGGAGUACGGCCGCAAGGUUGAAACUCAAAGGAAUUGACGGGG